AAAGUUCAUGGUCCGUCUCGGAAAAUCCUUUGUUUCUUUCGCCUCCUCCACCAAUUUAUCUUCAGUUCUCUUUGUCUCUAGUCACCUCCCAUGAGUCAUCUCUU
ensembl:ncRNA B0285.17 ncRNA